CUGGAACGCGCUUCGGCGCACCCAGAAACCCUUUGUGAACUUAUACCUUACUGUUGCCUCGGCGCAGGCCGGCCUCUACUGCUGAGGCCCCCCGGAGACGGGGAGCAGCCCGCCGGCGGCCAACCAAACUCUUGUUUCUACAGUGAAUCUCUGAGUAAAAAACAUAAAUGAAUCA
rnacentral:misc_RNA from 1 species